rnacentral:rRNA from 1 species
GACGAACGCUGGCGGCGUGCUUAACACAUGCAAGUCGAGCGAGGGCCUACCCCUGGUAACAGGGGUGGGAUUCCUAGCGGCGAACGGGUGAGUAACACGUGGGCAACCUGCCCUCAGCUCUGGGAUAACCCCGGGAAACCGGGGCUAAUACCGGAUACGACCUCGAAGGGCAUCCUUCGAGGUGGAAAGAACUUCGGCUGAGGAUGGGCCCGCGGCCUAUCAGCUUGUUGGUGGGGUAACGGCCUACCAAGGCGACGACGGGUAGCCGGCCUGAGAGGGCGACCGGCCACACUGGGGACUGAGACACGGCCCAGACUCCUACGGGAGGCAGCAGUGGGGAAGUAUUGCGCAAUGGCGAAGACCUGACGCAGCGACGCCGCGUGAGGGAUGACGG